rnacentral:rRNA from 1 species
AUUGAACGCUGGCGGCAUGCCUUACACAUGCAAGUCGAACGGCAGCACGGGAGCAAUCCUGGUGGCGAGUGGCGAACGGGUGAGUAAUAUAUCGGAACGUGCCCAGUCGUGGGGGAUAACGUAGCGAAAGCUACGCUAAUACCGCAUACGAUCUAUGGAUGAAAGCGGGGGAUCGCAAGACCUCGCGCGAUUGGAGCGGCCGAUAUCAGAUUAGGUAGUUGGUGAGGUAAAGGCUCACCAAGCCGACGAUCUGUAGCUGGUUUGAGAGGACGACCAGCCACACUGGGACUGAGACACGGCCCAGAAUACGACGGGAGGCAGCAGUGGGGAAUUUUGGACAAUGGGCGCAAGCCUGUUCCAGCAAUGCCGCGUGCAGGAUGAAGGCCUUCGGGUUGUAAACUGCUUUUGUACGGAACGAAACGGCGAGCUCUAAUACAGUUUGCUAAUGACGGUACCGUAAGAAUAAGCACCGGCUAACUACGUGCCAGCAGCCGCCGUAA